CCCUUAGAUGUCCUGGGCCGCACGCGCGUUACACUGAUGCAUUCAACGAGCUUAUAACCUUGGCCGAGAGGCCUGGGCAAUCUUGUUAACGUGCAUCGUGAUAGGGAUAGAUUAUUGAAAUUAUUAAUCUUGAACGAGGAAUUCCCAGUAAACGCAGAUCAUCAAUCUGCGUUGAUUACGUCCCUGCCCUUUGUACACACCGCCCGUCGCACCUACCGAUUGGAUGGUCCGGUGAAGCCUCGGGAUUGUGGUUCUUGCCGCUUUAUUGUGGCGUGACCGCGAGAACUUGUCUAAACCUUAUCAUCUAGAGGAAGGUGAAGUCGUAACA
rnacentral:rRNA from 1 species